rnacentral:rRNA from 1 species
UACGUAGGGUCCGAGCGUUGUCCGGAGUACUGGGCGUAAAGCGCGCGCAGGCGGCUCACCGAAGUCUGGCGUGAAAGCCCCCGGCUCAACCGGGGAGGGUCGUCGGAGACUGGUGGGCUUGAGGGCGGUAGGGGCUGGUGGAAUUCCCGGUGUAGUGGUGAAAUGCGUAGAGAUCGGGAGGAACACCUGUGGCGAAGGCGGCCAGCUGGGCCGACCCGUGACGCUGAGGCGCGAAG